CAUCGGGCGAUGCCGCACGCGGAUAUGCGUGGGACGUCGUGGUCGUGCCAUGGCGGGGCAAGCCGAUCGAUAUCGCGCGUUGCAUGCGCGCGCUCGAAUC
rnacentral:tRNA from 1 species